rnacentral:rRNA from 1 species
CGGGACGGGUGAGUAAUGUCUGGGAAAACUGCCUGAUGGAGGGGGAUAACUACUGGAAACGGUAGCUAAUACCGCAUAACGUCGCAAGACCAAAGAGGGGGACCUUAGGGCCUCUUGCCAUCGGAUGUGCCCAGAUGGGAUUAGCUAGUAGGUGGGGUAAAGGCUCACCUAGGCGACGAUCCCUAGCUGGUCUGAGAGGAUGACCAGCCACACUGGAACUGAGACACGGUCCAG